AACGAACGCUGGCGGCAGGCUUAACACAUGCAAGUCGAGCGCCCCGCAAGGGGAGCGGCAGACGGGUGCGUAACGCGUGGGAACGUACCUUUUGGUUCGGAACAACUCCGGGAAACUGGAGCUAAUACCGGAUAAGCCCUAACGGGGAAAGAUUUAUCGCCGAAAGAUCGGCCCGCGUCUGAUUAGCUAGUUGGUGAGGUAACGGCUCACCAAGGCGACGAUCAGUAGCUGGUCUGAGAGGAUGAUCAGCCACACUGGGACUGAGACACGGCCCAGACUCCUACGGGAGGCAGCAGUGGGGAAUAUUGGACAAUGGGCGCAGGCCUGAUCCAGCCAUGCCGCGUGAGUGAUGAAGGCCUUAGGGUUGUAAAGCUCUUUUGUCCGGGAAGAUAAUGACUGUACCGGAAGAAUAAGCCCCGGCUAACUUCGUG
rnacentral:rRNA from 1 species